UACGGAGGGUGCAAGCGUUAACCGGAAUUACUGGGCGUAAAGCGCGUGUAGGUGGUGGGUUAAGUUGGAUGUGAAAGCCCCGGGCUCAACCUGGGAACUGCAUCCAAAACUGGCCAGCUAGAGUACAGUAGAGGGUGGUGGAAUUUCCUGUGUAGCGGUGAAAUGCGUAGAUAUAGUAAGGAACACCAGUGGCGAAGGCGACCACCUGGACUGAUACUGACACUUAGGUCCGAAAGCGUGGGGAGCAAACAGG
rnacentral:misc_RNA from 1 species